rnacentral:lncRNA from 1 species
ACCUGUUAGCCCAGCGACAGCGCCUGUGGAGCCGUUGUCUUUUCCGCCGCUUCUCGGGAGAGGGCUGAUCUCCGUCCCGUUGAGAACAUGCCGGUGGCAGAGCCUCAGGUGUUUAUAUCUCUGCGUGUGGAAGAGGUGUUUUCUGUGGUAGAAAGGGCUGCACAGUUCUGCAAAACCUGAUUAGCUGUGGGACUUCUGACAACAGCUAAGAACAUGUGUAUGGACAGCUUCUACAGCUGAGGUGUUGGAAGUGAAUUAGAA